CCCUUAGAUGUUCUCGGCCGCACACGCGCUACACUGAAAGAGGCAACGUGUUUGCCUGAUUCGAAAGAAUUGGGUAACCCCCUAAUCUCUUUCGUGCUGGGGAUUGAGGUUUGCAAUUAUCCUUCAUGAACGAGGAAUUCCCAGUAAGUGCGAGUCAUUAUCUCGCGCUGACUACGUCCCUGCCCUUUGUACACACCGCCCGUCGCUACUACCGAUUGAAUGAUUUAGUGAGGACUUCGGACUGGGACCGAUGCGGCUUUCGGGCUGCGUCGGUAUUCUGGAAAGAUGUCCAAACUGUAUCAUUUAGAGGAAGUAAAAGUCGUANCA
rnacentral:rRNA from 1 species